CACCUGUGUCUUUAUGAUGCCCAGUGUCCUUGUAGGACCACAGACCACUGCCAGGUCUGACAACCUUGCUUUCUUCCCCAGAACUAAACCUGAGUUUGUUAGCUAUCUGAGUAGUUUCUGAGUUGUUUUCCUUUGCUUUCCACCACAUCAAUGCUAGUCUUUCCACACCGAGCUAUUCCUGUACUUUGAAGACUAAAUUACUGUCCACACAGUGUGUCUGUUAGGCACCAGAUUAGAUUUCCCACGAUUCCUAUAAGGCAGUAUGGAAUUUCUAACAUAUAUAAACAUUUCUGGGUUUGAACAACACAGAAAUGCAUUUUUUUCUCCGUGACAUUUUAUCUUUGCAAUCCCAUCUUCAACAGCUCUUCAGAUGAUAGAAUGACUUAAAUGCUGACUGCCCAGGAGUACCUGUAAAUUGCACUGGUCAAAUGCUGUACAGAGAUUCCUAGAAAUGAUCCCUCUUUGGAUUCUCUGUCCAUCCUCUUCCAUUAGGUUGUCAAGGCCUCUUUUCUGCACGAGGUCUCACUAUGCAGCUCAAGAUGACUUCAAACUCCUCCUCCUCCUGCUGCUGCUGCUGCUGCUCAGUCUCCUUGGUGCUAGAGUUCCAAACCUGUCUUUGGAUAUCCGGUUUUAUAAAAUAAAUUAUACUACUUUUAAGUGUGUUUGUGUGAGAGAGUGGGAGUGUGUGUGAGUGUCCACAGUGGCCAAAUGAGUCAGAUCCCCCGGAGCUGGAGUUAUUGGUGGUUGUGAACCACCCAUUAUUGGUGCUGGAAUCAAAUUCAGGUCCUCCUUAACUACUGAGACAUUUCUCCAGCCCCAGCAUGUCCAGCACAAGUAUGCCUAUAAACCUCAUAGAUGUCUGGUGUCUAGUGGACUAGGAGAGGCAUCAGACCCCCUGGGAACUGAAGUUACAAACAGUUGUGAGUCACCAUGUGGAUUCUGAGAAUUGAACCCAGGUACUCUGGAAAAACAGCCAGCUAUAAACUGUUCAGCCAAUCUCUCAGGCCCAAUAUCUCCAUUCUUAACUCUGAUUUUUUUUUCCUUUUUCAUGCAAAUACAUUCAGGCUUUUUGUUUUUG
rnacentral:lncRNA from 1 species